CCUGGAGCAAGUCCGCUAGGGCUCGAGGCGGGACCUUCUGGUGCUGGUGGAGAGGCGCUAGGAGCAUCAGAUGGAGAAGGAGCAGCCGAUGGUGGAGUGGUGGCAGGGGCUGGAGUCGCGGCAGGUGGUGGAGUGGUGGCUGGAGCUGGGGUUGCGGCGGGAGGUGGGGUGGCCACUGGAGGAGGAGUAGCGACAGGAGGAGGAGUAGCCACGGGAGGAGGAGGAUUAGCUGUGGGAGUGGGAGCUGGGGCUUGAGCAAGUGCAACUGUGGCGAAGAGAGCCAUUAUCAAAAAAACUUGGACACUUUUGGAACCCAUUUCUC
rnacentral:lncRNA from 1 species